rnacentral:rRNA from 1 species
UUUAUGGAGAGUUUGAUCCUGGCUCAGGAUGAACGCUGGCGGCGUGCCUAAUACAUGCAAGUCGAGCGAACGGACGAGAAGCUUGCUUCUCUGAUGUUAGCGGCGGACGGGUGAGUAACACGUGGAUAACCUACCUAUAAGACUGGGAUAACUUCGGGAAACCGGAGCUAAUACCGGAUAAUAUUUUAAACCGCAUGGUUCAAAAGUGAAAGACGGUCUUGCUGUCACUUAUAGAUGGAUCCGCGCUGCAUUAGCUAGUUGGUAAGGUAACGGCUUACCAAGGCAACGAUGCAUAGCCGACCUGAGAGGGUGAUCGGCCACACUGGAACUGAGACACGGUCCAGACUCCUACGGGAGGCAGCAGUAGGGAAUCUUCCGCAAUGGGCGAAAGCCUGACGGAGCAACG